rnacentral:rRNA from 1 species
UUGAACGCUGGCGGCAUGCUUUACACAUGCAAGUCGAACGGUAACAGGCCUUCGGGUGCUGACGAGUGGCGAACGGGUGAGUAAUGCAUCGGAACGUGCCCAAUCGUGGGGGAUAACGUAGCGAAAGUUACGCUAAUACCGCAUACGCCCUGAGGGGGAAAGCAGGGGAUCUUCGGACCUUGUGCGAAUGGAGCGGCCGAUGUCAGAUUAGCUAGUUGGUGGGGUAAAGGCUCACCAAGGCGACGAUCCGUAGCGGGUCUGAGAGGACGACCCGCCACACUGGAACUGAGACACGGUCCAGACUCCUACGGGAGGCAGCAGUGGGGAAUUUUGGACAAUGGGGGCAACCCUGAUCCAGCCAUUCCGCGUGAGUGAAGAAGGCCUUCGGGUUGUAAAGCUCUUUCAGCAGGAACGAAACGGCAGGUCUUAAUACGGCUUGCUAAUGACGGUACCUGCAGAAGAAGCACCGGCUAACUACGU